GGGGUGCUCGAGUGGCGAACGGGUGAGUAACACGUGAGUAACCUGCCCUUGACUUUGGGAUAACUUCAGGAAACUGGGGCUAAUACCGGAUAGGAGCUCCUGCUGCAUGGUGGGGGUUGGAAAGUUUCGGCGGUUGGGGAUGGACUCGCGGCCUAUCAGCUUGUUGGUGGGGUAAUGGCCUACCAAGGCGGCGACGGGUAGCCGGCCUGAGAGGGUGUACGGCCACAUUGGGACUGAGAUACGGCCCAG
rnacentral:rRNA from 1 species